AGCAGUAGCCGCGGUAAUGCGGAGGGGGCUAGCGUUGUUCGGAAUUACUGGGCGUAAAGCGCACGUAGGCGGCUUUGUAAGUUAGAGGUGAAAGCCCGGAGCUCAACUCCGGAAUUGCCUUUAAGACUGCAGAGCUAGCAGGUGAGAGAGGUGAGUGGAAUUCCGAGUGUAGAGGUGAAACUCGUAGAUAUUCGGAAGAACACCAGUGGCGAAGGCGGCUCACUGGCUCAUACUGGACGCUGAGGUGCGAAAGCGUGGGGAGCAAACAGGAUUAGAUACCCGCGUAGUCCCUGUCUCUUAUAA
rnacentral:rRNA from 1 species